rnacentral:rRNA from 1 species
UACAGAGGUCUCAAGCGUUGUUCGGAUUUAUUGGGCGUAAAGAGCUCGUAGGCGGCUCGUUGCGUCAGCUGUGAAAACCCGCAGCUCAACUGUGAGCUUGCAGCUGAUACGGGCGGGCUAGAAUUCGGUAGGGGAGACUGGAAUUCCUGGUGUAGCGGUGAAAUGCGCAGAUAUCAGGAGGAACACCGGUGGCGAAGGCGGGUCUCUGGGCCGAUAUUGACGCUGAGGAGCGAAAGCGUGGGGAGCGAACAGG